CAUCCUCCAAGGCUAAAUACUCCUGACUGACCGAUAGUGAACCAGUACCGUGAGGGAAAGGCGAAAAGAACCCCGGCGAGGGGAGUGAAAAAGAACCUGAAACCGUGUACGUACAAGCAGUGGGAGCCCCACCACUAAGCCAGUGGUGAACUCCACAUACGCAUCCUUUGCUGAGGAUACGGUUAACGGAGCGAAAGCGACGUUCAACCUCAAAAGAAGCAGAGGGGGCUUAGUGGUGGGGUGACUGCGUACCUUUUGUAUAAUGGGUCAGCGACUUAUAUUCUGUAGCAAGGUUAACCGAAUAGGGGAGCCGGAGGGAAACCGAGUCUUAAUUGGGCGUUAAGUUGCAGGGUAUAGACCCGAAACCCGGUGAUCUAGCCAUGGGCAGGUUGAAGGUUGGGUAACACUAACUGGAGGACCGAACCGACUAAUGUUGAAAAAUUAGCGGAUGACCUGUGGCUGGGGGUGAAAGGCCAAUCAAACCGGGAGAUAGCUGGUUCUCCCCGAAAGCUAUUUAGGUAGCGCCUCGUGAAUUCAUCUCCGGGGGUAGAGCACUGUUUCGGCUAGGGGGCCAUCCCGGCUUACCAACCCGAUGCAAACUGCGAAUACCGGAGAAUGUUAUCACGGGAGACACACGGCGGGUGCUAACGUCCGUCGUGAAGAGGGAAACAACCCAGACCGCCAGCUAAGGUCCCAAAGUCAUGGUUAAGUGGGAAACGAUGUGGGAAGGCCCAGACAGCCAGGAUGUUGGCUUAGAAGCAGCCAUCAUUUAAAGAAAGCGUAAUAGCUCACUGGUCGAGUCGGCCUGCGCGGAAGAUGUAACGGGGCUAAACCAUGCACCGAAGCUGCGGCAGCGAACGUAUCACCCAAGACAACUUUGCGGAGUUGACGAUUGACGGAGCGAAGCGACGUCAAAGCGUUCAUUAAAGUCGAGUUGGCUUAGGGAUACGUUCGUUGGGUAGGGGAGCGUUCUGUAAGCCAGUGAAGGUGUGUCGUGAGGCAUGCUGGAGGUAUCAGAAGUGCGAAUGCUGACAUAAGUAACGAUAAAGCGGGUGAAAAGCCCGCUCGCCGGAAGACCAAGGGUUCCUGUCCAACGUUAAUCGGGGCA
rnacentral:rRNA from 1 species